GGGCGAUUAGCUCAGUUGGUAGAGCACCUCCCUUACAAGGAGGGGGUCAUCAGUUCGAGNNUGAUAUUGCCCA
rnacentral:tRNA from 1 species